rnacentral:lncRNA from 1 species
GAAUUAGGGUUAAGGUGAACUCGUCAAACCCAACAUCAGUCAUAUGAAUCAAUCGAUCGAUCUGAGUUCGAUGUGAAACCCCAAUGGAAAACUCUUUUCCAUUAUUUCACUCUGCCAUGGCCAUGGGCUUAAGGACUUGAUCUUUCGAUCAUCAUAGGACUACUCCUCUCAUCUACCGAGGUUGAUAGAUAUCAUCUUGGUGCAAUCUGGUUCCUACAAUGAAUAUGCUACAGCCAACAUACACCUCAGGAUUUCGAAUGGCUAGGAGAUCGAGUUAUGGUGUAGUCAAACUAUAACA